UAGGUAUUCCCUAGUACGGCGAGUGAAGCGGGAAGAGCUCAAAUUUGAAAUCUGGCAGUCUUCGAUUGUCCGAGUUGUAAUCUAUAGAGGCGUUUUCCGUGCCGGACCGUGUCCAAGUCUCCUGGAAAGGAGUAUCAAAGAGGGUGAUAAUCCCGUACUUAACACGACCACCGGUGCUCUGUGAUACGUCUUCUACGAGUCGAGUUGUUUGGGAAUGCAGCUCAAAAUGGGUGGUGAAUUCCAUCUAAAGCUAAAUAUUGGCGAGAGACCGAUAGCGAACAAGUACCGUGAGGGAAAGAUGAAAAGCACUUUGGAAAGAGAGUUAAACAGUACGUGAAAUUGUUGAAAGGGAAACGAUUGAAGUCAGUCGUGUUCUUUGGAUUCAGCCAGUUCUGCUGGUCUACUUCCUUGGAACGGGUCAACAUCAGUUUUGUCCGGUGGAUAAAGGUAGUAGGAAUGUGACUUCUCCGGAAGUGUUAUAGCCUAUUAUCACAUACACUGGGUGAGACUGAGGACUGCAGCUCGCCUUUAUGGCCGGUCUUCGGACACGUUCGAGCUUAGGAUGUUGACAUAAUGGCUUUAAACGACCCGUCUUGAAACACGGACCAAUUUUUCCUCCU
rnacentral:rRNA from 1 species